UCUGUAAAUUUUCAACUUUGCCCAGUUUUAGAUGCUAGUCCCUUGAAUUGUUGAAGGUGAAGGUGGCUUCCAGGGAUCAUAUAUCCUACCAUAGGGUGGGAAACACAGAACAGGAAGAGGAUAGGAGUUUGGAAGAAAUAUCUAGAAUGCCUGAAAUGAAUUAUUUAUCAAUACACAACAGGAAACUAUUCCUGGCUACGUGGUCUCUUACACAGAUUCCUGGUUUGGUUUCAGUAAUCCUGGUUCUAGUUUGGACACUAAAAUACAGAGGAGGAUUUGCUUGGGGUGCUGAGGAUCCCGGUCAUGCAUUUAACUGGCACCCUCUUCUCAUGAUCAUU